GUUACAGUGCAAUUCAGCAUUUGCUCACUUGUGAAAAUCCAGAAAGCCUCACAAGAUUGCAGGAGGAUAGCACGAACAAGAGGCAGAGCCCUUCCACCCAAACCAAGCAGCAAGAACGGACAGGGAACAAGACUGCAUAAUGGCGUCAGAGGUCCACAUGUCAGGCCCUGUGUGCCUCAUUAAGAAUGUGAAAGGGCAACUGGUAGCCAACCAGGAGGCUCUGCAGAUCCUGUCUGCCAACGAGCAGCAAGUGGUAGUGGUGGCCAUCGUGGGUUUGUACCGCACAGGCAAAUCCUACUUGAUGAACAAGCUGGCUGGGAAGAACACAGGCUUCUCUCUGGGCUCCACAGUGCAGUCUCACACCAAGGGGAUCUGGAUGUGGUGUGUGCCUCAUCCCCAGAAGGCAGACACCACCUUAGUUCUGCUUGACACAGAGGGCUUGGGUGAUGUUGAAAAAGGUGACAACCAGAGCGACUGCUGGAUCUUUGCCCUGGCUAUACUUCUCAGUAGCACCUUUGUGUACAACAGCAUGAGAGCCAUCGACCAGCAGGCCAUCGACCAGCUGCACUAUGUGACAGAGCUGACAGACAGAAUCAGAACAAGAUCCUCAUCUGGCCAGGAUGAGGUGGAUGCCUCAGAUGAGUUUGUGAGCUUCUUCCCGGAUUUCGUGUGGGCUGUGAGGGACUUCUCUCUUGAGCUGAAAUUAAAUGAAAAACCCAUCUCUGCAGAUGAAUACCUAGAGAAUAGCCUGGAAGUUAAAGAUGGUACUGGCCAAAGAGAUAAAGAAAAAGAAUUAAAUAUGCCUAGGCUCUGUAUCCACAAGUUCUUCCCAAAGAAGAAAUGCUUUGUCUUUGAGAGGCCAGCACACGGGAAAAAGCUUGGCCAGCUGCAAUCACUACAGGAUCAUGACCUGGACUCUGAUUUUGUGGAACAGCUGGCAGAUUUCUGUUCCUACGUGUUCAGCUGUUCCAAGGUUAAAAGGCUUCCAGGAGGCAUCAAGGUCAAUGGACCACGACUAGAGAGCUUGGUGACAACCUAUAUCAACACCAUCAACAGUGGAGGUUUGCCUUGCCUGGAGAAUGCUGUUCUGGCUUUGGUCCAGACAGAGAAUGAAGCUGCAGUGCAAAAGGCCAUUGCCUACUAUGACCAGCAAAUGAAUGAGAAGUUGCAGCUGCCCACAGAGACCCUCCAGGAGCUGCUGGGCCUGCACAGGGCCAGUGAGAAAGAAGCCAUCAAGAUCUUCAUGGAGAAUUCCGUCAAAGACAUUAAUCAAGUGUUCCUAAUGAAAGUAAUGACCAGAUUAGAAGCAAAGCUAGAAGAAUUCUUUAAGAAGAAUGCACAGGUGUCCUCAGACCACUGCUCGGCUCUGCUUCAGGGUAUUUUCAGUCCUCUAGAAGAAGACUUGAAGCACGGGAUUUAUUUUAAACCAGGGGGAUACUUUAUUUUUAUGUGGAAGAUACGGGAGUUGAAGAAAAAGUACUAUGAGGAACCUAGGAAGGGGGUUCAGGCUGAAGAAGUUCUGCAGAAAUUUUUGCAGUCAAAGGAAGAAGUGAGUGAUGCAGUUCUACAGACAGACCAGACUCUGACAAAAAAGGAAAAGGAGACUGAAGUGGAGCGUGUGAGAGCUGAAGCCACCUGGGCUAUAGCAAGAAUGCAGGAGGAAAUGCAACAGGAGACUAAGCAGUUGCUGCAACAGAAAAAGAGUCACGAGAAACAUAUAAAAGUGUUGACUGAGAAGAUGGAGGAGGCCCAGGCCCAGUUGAGGGAGGAGCAGAGAGCAUGUCAGAAGAUAUCUUGGGAAUAUGCAGAACUACAGGAGGAGAAUAAAAGAAGGAGAAAGUUUUUGGGAUGUUUGUUAUGCUAAAGGCCUAAAGAGUAAUGCUAUCCUGCCAUUCAAAGCAGAACUGAAAAGGGUGUAGAAUUUGGAACAAGAGUGACUCUACAUGGAACACAAAUUAAAAAUAUGCAAAGAUGUUCAGUGCAAUCAUUGAAAUCAUGUUCAUCUUCAUAUAAGAUUGGGUACCAAAGAUGUCAUUGAUGUCUUUAUCACAAAAUAGGUACCAACAACACCACUUAAAAGAGAGGCCCCUGUCCAGAUGAUCUCAAGACACUUAUUAUAUUAUUAAGUAUUGGUUCAUAAUUAGGAAUCCAGUUGUCCAAGGUUGUGAUAGGUCUAAAGGACAGGGAUAACCAACCUUAUUUUCCACAAUGUAAAGUUUUCCAUUGUAUGAAAUAUCAAAAUACUCAACCUUUCAGCAGUGGAAUUAUUUGUGGACACUGAUGAUGGAUAACCCUAUGAACACACUCCAUUAUAAAUCAAGACACCUGCCUGGAGAUGAGAUAUCCAAAGGAAGAUGGAAGAAUCCAUAACCAUGACAAGAAGCUGUUUUACAGGUCCAUGGGCCAAUGAAGGGAAUGUUUCAGUACAUGGAGACUGAAAUUGUUACAUUACUUUUCUAAGCUUUAAUAUUUAAAACUGAUUGCAUGCUAACAUGAUGUCAACAAAGCAUAAUGUAGACCUUAAGGAUGACUUUAAAUGAUGAUGGGUAAUCUACAGUAUCAAAGGUAUUUUAAUAGUUUAUCUGUAACCAUAAACUUACUCUACUCUUUUCCAUUUUUUAGCAGUUAUACCUGAAAUCCUUUUGAUUUUUCCACAAGCAGAAUAAAGAUUAUUUUCCCAUAUUUUCGACCAACUCUUAGUAUUAAGGCAUAUAUAUAAAAUAUAUUCCAACUACCAGAAGUGCAAAGUAAGUGGUUAACAGUUUUUAAAAGGAUCAAGAACUGUUGGGGGCUGUGACUCAGUGAAUAAAAUACUUGCUGUGCAAACAUGAGCACAAAAAUUCAGACCUUUUCUCCCAUGUGUAACAAACCAGACAUGGUGGCACACACCUGGAAGCCGAGCACUGAAGUUGGGGAAAGGCAGACAGAAUGAUCCUUGGGUUCUACUAGUCAGCCAGCCUAGUCAACAAAUGGGCUCUGGGUUUACUGAGAGACCCCAUUUCAAAAAUAAUAGGGAGAGCAACUGAGAACAGAGUCAGCACACUUUGCCUGCAGGACCAUGAGAAAUCAAGCUGGAAUGCAACUAGACUCUCUUUUGCUGAAUGGUUCUCAUGGAAGCAAAAAGAAGUAUGCAGGUUGCUGAGGAGAGCUGUCACCAACAGCCCUGCUGAGAACCUUCAUCUGGUGAUGGAUGGAGAUAGAGACAGAGACCCA